ACAGCAGCCGCCGCGGGAAUACGAGGGGGGCAAGCGUUGUUCGGAUUUAUUGGGCGUAAAGGGUGCGUAGGCGGUUUGGCAAGUCUUGUGUGAAAUCUUCGGGCUCAACCCGAAGCCUGCACGAGAAACUACCGGGCUUGAGUAUUGGAGAGGUGAGUGGAAUUUCCGGUGUAGCGGUGAAAUGCGCAGAUAUCGGAAGGAACACCUGUGGCGAAAGCGGCUCACUGGACAAUAACUGACGCUGAUGCACGAAAGCGUGGGGAGCAAACAGGAUUAGAUACCCCCGUAGUCCCUGUCUCUUAUAC
rnacentral:rRNA from 1 species